GAGGGUUAAAUUGUUUUCUUUACGCCGCAGGUUCUAUGGAAGGGGGCUUGCUAAAUUUUUUAUACUUAUCUACUUAAACUAUACUAGUAGGUUCUAUGGAGGGGCUUCCAAAAUUUUCAUGUAUAUCUUUCUUUCUUUUUUGACAAUGUCAGGUAUAAUGAAGAGGGGCUUGCUAAAUUGUCAUAUUCUUCUGGUUUCCUUAAAAAUUUCGGUGACGAGGGGCUUCAUGUAGGUUUCUUAAAGGCAAAGUUGGGUUUGCAUUAUUUGCACAGAAAAUAGUCUGUGAAGAAGGGCCUGCUAAAUUUUCUCUAUUUAUCUCUCCUUAUUCCUCUGGUUUCCUAAAAAAAUCUGUAAGAGGGGCUUCCUUUAGGUUUCUUAAAGGCAAAGUUGGGUUUGCAUUAUUUACACAGAAAAUUGUCUGUGAAGAAGGGCCUGCCAAAUUUUCUCUAUCUCUCUCUCCUCAUUCCUCUGGUUUCCUAAAUUUUCUCUAUUUAUUGCUCUUUAUUCCUCUAGGUUUCUAAGGCCAAAAAUAAGGUUUGCAUUGUUUGCAGUUUGCAGUUUGCACUACAAAUUAUCUGUAGAGAGCAAGGGUAAGAGAUAUAGAUAAUUUGUUUGCACUACAAAUCACUUCAGCAGGAUUAAAGUAAUGUCACAGACAACUCGUUUCCGACUUACUGGCAUUGACAACUUUUCAAAGCAAAAAGCAAAGGUUGAGAAACUGAAGGAAAGCAUGUCAGGGAUUGCUGAUGUUAAUUUGGGCGAAGAUAGAUGGGUUACAUUCGUGCAUGAUCCCAGUACAGCUGAUGCACAAAACAUAAGAAAACGUCUCGAAGCUAUGAAUUUGCGUCCCAUUGAGACUCGAAUUAUAAACAACUGAUGAUUAAGGGAUCAAUGAUGGAUAUGGAUAUUCUUUUAAAUAUAAAAUUAUCAUAUGUAAUAAAUGGUAAAAUAUAAAAAAUGAUUUAGUAAUUGAGCAUGUUUUAAUAGUUGUUAUA